CCCUACUAUCUGAUAUGUCUGAAGGGUUUGCCGUAACGCGACUAUACUACGUAGGCCCCCCAUCUGCCUAGGAAUCAACUUCUCUGAUAGUAC